rnacentral:rRNA from 1 species
AUUGAACGCUGGCGGCAGGCCUAACACAUGCAAGUCGAGCGCGAAAAUUCCUUCGGGGAUGAGUAGAGCGGCGGACGGGUGAGUAAUGCGCAGAAAUCUGCCCAGUAGUGGGGGACAACCUGGUGAAAACCAGGCUAAUACCGCAUACGCCCUACGGGGAAAGGACAGGGAGUCUUCGGACCUUGCGCUAUUGGAUGAGUCUGCGUCGGAUUAGCUUGUUGGUGAGGUAAUGGCUCACCAAGGCGACGAUCCGUAGCUGGUCUGAGAGGAUGAUCAGCCACACUGGGACUGAGACACGGCCCAGACUCCUACGGGAGGCAGCAGUGGGGAAUAUUGGACAAUGGGCGAAAGCCUGAUCCAGCCAUGCCGCGUGUGUGAAGAAGGCUCUAGGGUUGUAAAGCACUCUCAGUGGGGAAGAAAGCUUGUUAGCUAAUAACUGACGAGUGUGACAUUACCCACAGAAGAAGCACCGGCUAACUCCG